rnacentral:lncRNA from 13 species
AAAAAUUGAACAUGACACACCAGCAAUUUAUUAUUUGUGUGUUUUUUAACCUUGAGUAUCAGAUUGUUUGUCCAAGCAUAUCCUUUGAUUUGCUAUGAAAUUUAUCGUUGAUAAAAACAAUCAGAUUUCCAUUAGAUGCAAAAAAUUCAUUUUUUUCCCAUGAACCAUAGAUUUAGAAAAAAUUCAAGCUCGGCUGCAGGACUUAUGACAGCUGAUUUCAGGUUGAAUGCUACUGUACUACCAAAGAGUGGAGUUCAGUGCUCGUGUGGUCGUUCAAGGUUCAGAAUCUUGUGCUCCUCAUCAGUAUUUUAUACCACUGCAAAACUGGAUUAUCUCUUUCAAGGUAGAAAUGAUGGAAAAUGUAUAUGCCUCAACGCUUAUGAGUUUGUAAUCCAUGUCUUGCAGUAGGAAGGAUUCCCAAACAUGAGCUAUGCAGGUGUGUUGAUGAGUCUGCAGUCUGAGGUGGUGGAACACUGACCUAUUUGGCUGCUUUACUGAUGAGCAAAACUGGUCACCAGUCACUCUGUAACUCAAAGACUAAUAUGAAUACAAUACAGUCUUUUUUGUCUAUUUCCCUCAAACAUAAUUUAAGGAAUAGGCUCAGCAGAGCUAUCUUAAAAACUAUGUAAAGAAGCUGAUAUGAAUCCGCUGUUGGUUAAAUGUAAUGUUGCUCUCAUGGUAUCUCCUAUUUGCCCUCUUAAGAGUAGCUAUUGCAAUGUCCUUGAGGUGUUCCAAAUAUUUUAAUCAUUUUAUAGAUGAAAGGAGCUGGGUUGUUUUCAUUGUUUGUUUGCUGGAUUUUUUAUUUUGGUGGCAAAAUGAGGAUGGAAAAAAAAGUUGUUUUCUGCAGAAGAGUACCUAAGUGAUGUUUAAACUGAGAAGAGAUAGAAGAGAUGUGUUGGUACUUUGUAUCACUGGAGCUAACUUUAUUGUAAAGUACCAACUGUCUGCACAAGUUGUCCUGGAGAAAUAUUUACUCAGGUCUAAAAACUGAUUUCCACCCUUUGUCAUCCUCAUAGUAAAAUACAACCAUAUGUCUGCCUCCACCACCUGGAGAUAAUUCUGGGACCUAAUUUGACAGCAUUUAUAAUUGCAGACUUUUAGGACUGCUCAUAAUUAAGCUACUGGACAAGUUUAGCUGUUGAACUCAGUGAUGACAAAAUCAUGUGUCUUACAUUGCUUACUAAAUCUGCUGGAUGCUUUUCUCCUUAGCAUUUUCUCUGAAGGAAUUAAUCCAGGAAGGCAACCAAAAGAAUUGACAAGUCUUUGAUUUUGAUUUUGAAACAGUGUCAGACAAGUGUGCGUUUCGGAGUUUCCAAGAAGGUGACAUACUCUUUUCCUCUUACUUGUAGUUAAUAGCAAAGAGCAUUCAGCGCCACAAUACCCAAAGGGUAGUGUUUGAGUGACUGCACAGAGAAUGUGGAUUGUUAUCAUUCCAGUCACAGGGCACUGCAUGAAAUCACAGGCUCUGAGCUCUUCAGUACUGCCACUCGAACAUAGCAGCCACUGUUACUCCUACACUGCUUUUAUGGUACAUGUUAUAACAUUUUAUUUGAUACUCGCGGUUCCCAUGGUAUGUGAGGUUUUGUAUUUUUUUUAAGUACUAAGCUCUAAAUCUUUUGUUUGUGCAGUGGAAGAAGUCAGGUGAAUUUAAAAAAUAUGUUCUAUUAGAAAGUUUUUC